AGGACGAACGCUGGCGGCACGCUUAACACAUGCAAGUCGAACGGAGAAUAUUGGUUACUGAGUAUCUUAGUGGCGGACGGGUGAGUAACACGUGAGCAACCUGCCUUUGAGGGAGGGAUAGCUUCUGGAAACGGAUGGUAAUACCUCAUAACAUAGUUGAAGGGCAUCCUUUGAUUAUCAAAGAUUUAUCACUCAAAGAUGGGCUCGCGUCUGAUUAGAUAGUUGGUGAGGUAACGGCUCACCAAGUCGACGAUCAGUAGCCGGACUGAGAGGUUGAACGGCCACAUUGGGACUGAGACACGGCCCAGACUCCUACGGGAGGCAGCAGUGGGGAAUAUUGCACAAUGGGGGAAACCCUGAUGCAGCGAUGCCGCGUGGAGGAAGAAGGUUUUCGGAUUGUAAACUCCUGUCUUAAAGGACGAUAAUGACGGUACUUUAGGAGGAAGCUCCGGCUAACUACGUGCCAGCCGCCGC
rnacentral:rRNA from 1 species